AUCUUCUGCAGUUGGCCUUCAGUUUUCUUCCUAGGACUGCCAAACAGGAAGACUUUUAUGUUCACGGCAGGGCGCGCACAGCCCUUAAAGCUGUGCAGGAGCAGCUGGUCCUGCUGGGGGAGAGAAAUGGGAGCAGGGACCCGAAAUCAAGGCAGGGUGCUCCUGGUCCCACUCCAGACAGGGCGCAGCUUUCCUGAUGUGGUCUGAAGCACCUCACUGUUUUGUCUGAGAACAGUCAUCACCUCAUCAUGAUCGUGACAUUAAUCGGGUGUGUGUUCGUGGGGAAUUGAGUAUUUGGAGCAAGCAGCCCAGGAUUGCUGUGACAUGCAGUGACCUGGCCGGAGAGGAGGUGGCCAGCCCAAAGCACCUCCUCCUGGGGACUGUACAGAAAUAUGAGAGGUAGGGCUUUAGUCUGCAGCUUCUGCUUGCUACCACUGCCCUUUUACAUCCACACGUAUCCGUCUAUGAUGGUUUUUCUUUGAUGGCCUCUCACAGCACGCUGAGAUGUCCCUAAGUCACCAGGCCAUUUCCCCAGCCCUUGCCCCUGUGCGGGGUCCCAGGGAAGAGAGCUCCUGCAGGCGUUUACCCCAUUUCUUCCUCGCUGAGCAACCCUCGGUGCUGUCCUCUCUUCCUCUCUGCCACGUGUGCCCUCUGCAGGGUGUGCUGCGGUCUGGUGCACCGCUGUGAUUUUGGGGCCAGAGGAGGGGAGCUGGGACACCCGGCGUGUGUCCUCUGUACCCCAGCAGCUCCCUCACUGCCCACAUCUGCUGCACUCAUUCUGAUGUCACAGCAGUGAGGUGACAGCCAGGGGAGAGAGCUGAGGGCAUUUUUCUCCUGAAAAACACGCGCUUUAGUACCAACCCAGGGGGCACAGCUUGCCCUGAGCGCUACCUGGGCCGGGACUGCUGGCAGAGCAGCCAGUGCCCACCCCAGGGGGGUGCCAGGGCUUUUACCCCAGUGCCACAGGCUGCCCCCGAGCUCCCAGAUGUGGCUUCAGAGCCACGUCAGUGCCCGGGGACACCCAGAGGACGUCGCUGCCUCUCGCAGCAGCUCGUCGCGGAGGCCCGAGCGUGCUCCAGCCGGGCAGCGGGCAGCACCACUGUACAGAUGUAAGAGGAGAUCUUGUUUCUCUCAACCUGAAACCAUUUCCUUUCCCCCGCUGCCCUCCCUCCCCUCCCUCCCUAAUUUGUCCCCGAGGGUUUAAUAUCUAUUUCUCCAAGUGCCACGGGCCAAAUUUACUGCUCGCAUAACUCCACCGACUUCAAUGGAGAAGAGCGUUUAGGGUGCUCCAAGGAGGCGUAAGUAGGAGUGAUGUGAUGGAAUUGAGUAAAGGAAAAUAUAGCCUGAUUGUCAAGAAGAGUUUCCUACCAGCGAAAUCUAUAGACUGUGGAAGUUUCCCAUGGGAACAGGCAGAAACCAAGUUGCUGAAGUCAUUUUAAAACAGCACAAGAGAAUAGGAAAUCAGCCCAGCGACCGGCCAAAAGGAAAGGCGAGAUGACAUAAUGCUACUUCUCCUCCUCUCGUUUCUGCGGCUGCAUUGCUUUGUCUAUGCAAUUAUUUUCAUGCAACUGGAUUUCUCCUUGUUUCUGAGCGAUGCGACAGCCCUUGCUGCUCCUGCAGAUGUUUGGAUUCCUGUGCUAAAUUCUGUCCUGGCUUACAGAAACACCCGCUGCAGCCCCCGCUGCUCCUCCUGUUUGUCCUGCUGAGCGCACACCUCCUCUGGGCUCUCUCCAGGUUUCUCCCCUGCCUUACCUGACUCUUGGGCUCCUGCAUUUAUGAGGCUGUACCAAAUCAGUCAGCCUAAUUUGGGAAUAAUGGCAGGGCUCCUUCAGGUUGACACAGGCUACGGAUGCUACCGAUGCAUAUCUGCAACUUACUGGCAAGCAGAGGAGAGACCAGGGCUGGAAAUCUUCCUAUCUCCAUGGGUCCUUCAGGCAGAUUCCUGGUAGAUCAUCUGCUGGAAAAUCAUAAAGGCAAUUAGCACAUCAGGAACACUCCUUUCCCUGGUGACUAUCGGGUCCGGCAGCUCCCGCCUGCCUGUUUCGGGCUGGGUAUAGGAAACCAGGUCCGCACACGCCGUGGGCAUGCCCAGCUACGACCCGGUGGCUUUUGCAAUCUCUUGCACAUGGCACUUUCUGAUGUAUUUAUUAAUGACUUAACAUUCGCUCAUCGUCUCAACAUUAGCAACUUAAAGCUUUGCUGCUCGCAGCCUCCUACCUCGCACAGAUAAUUACAGAUUAGAAGCGGCUAAUUUUUAUUUUUGUAAAGCUGUCAGAGAUCUAUGUUUGUUAUUAUUGUCUCCUAGGUUGCCAGUUGCAUAAAUACAUAUGUAAAAACCCCUUUGAUCUCUAAGUAUAAUGACACAGAUUUAUCAAA